AGGUUAAAAAUGCAGAUUUUGAGGUUAAAAAUGCAGAUUUUUGGGACCUGGGGGCAGAUUUUGGGGUGAAAAGGGCAGAUUUUGGGGUGUGGGAAGAAAUCCUGAGGUAAAAAUUGCAGGUUUUGAGGUAAAAAUGCAGAUUUUUGGGAUUUGGGGGUAAAAAUUGCAGAUUUUGAGGUAAAAAUUGCAGAUUUUGAGAUUUUGGGGUGAAAAGGGCAGAUUUUGGGGUGUGGGAAGAAAUCCUGAGGUAAAAAUUGCAGGUUUUGAGGUAAAAAUGCAGAUUUUUGGGGUAAAAAUGCAGAUUUUGGGGCCUGGGGAGGAAAUCCUGAGGUAAAAAUUGCAGGUUUUGAGGUAAAAAUGCAGAUUUUUGGGGUAAAAAAGGCAGAUUUUGGG